UACGGAGGGGGCUAGCGUUGUUCGGAAUUACUGGGCGUAAAGCGCACGUAGGCGGCUUUGUAAGUUAAGAGGUGAAAGCCCGGGGCUCAACUCCGGAAUUUGCCUUUAAGACUGCAUCGCUAGAAUUGUGGAGAGGUAAGUGGAAUUCCGAGUGUAGAGGUGAAAUUCGUAGAUAUUCGGAAGAACACCAGUGGCGAAGGCGACUUACUGGACACAUAUUGACGCUGAGGUGCGAAAAGCGUGGGGGAGCAAACAGGAUUAAGAAAACCCUGGU
rnacentral:rRNA from 1 species